rfam:Takifugu rubripes genomic scaffold, scaffold_708
GCAACGGCUCUUUUCAGAGCCACACACGCGCGCGCUGAAGCACCG